UAAAAAGCUCGUAGUCGGAGGUGUGUCUCGGACGGUUGGUUCGCCGCUUGCCGGUGCUCAACUGGCCGGUCCGGACGUCCUGCCGGUGGGGCUGUAAAAGGCUCCGUUAUCCUUCUUUGGUCCUCUUCAUUGAGUGCCUUGGUGGGCCGGCACGUUUACUUUGAACAAAUUAGAGUGCUCAAAGCAGGCCGUUGGUCGCCUGAAUACUGUGUGCAUGGAAUAAUAGAAUAGGACCUCGGUUCCAUUUUGUUGGUUUUCAGAACUCGAGGUAAUGAUUAAUAGGGACGGACGGGGGCAUUCGUAUUGCGACGUUAGAGGUGAAAUUCUUGGAUCGUCGCAAGACGAACCGAUGCGAAAGCAUUUGCCAAGAACGUUUUCGUUGAUCAAGAACGAAAGUUAGAGGUUCGAAGGCGAUCAGAUACCGCCCUAGUUCUAACCAUAAACGAUGCCAGCUAGCCAUCCGCCGAAGUUCCUUAUAUGACUCGGCGGGCAGCUUCCGGGAAACCAAAGCUCUUGGGUUCCGGGG
rnacentral:rRNA from 4 species